GGUGAGGUGGCGUGUGUCCGUGCAGAGAAUCAGCUCCAGGUGCAACUUGAAAGGAAGUUACUAAAUGUGCGCACCCUUUGCAACGGUAGCGAAAUAUGCGUGAGGAACAAAUACAGCAUGUACUGCUCAGUCACAGCAGUAUCAACAGUAGGGCUGGAGCCGACCACCUAAAGUGACAAACAUGCAGAACCAAGUCCAGAAGAUCAUUCUGUGGACAUCCUGUCAAGUAUAAGAUGUGGACACAGCUACCUCACCACCAACUGGCCAUUAACAGGAGCCGGGUUGCCUGUAAUGAUUGGUCCUGCCAGGAGUGAUCCAGCUGUACGAAGCUGCACACGGCCAGUGUGAUGGCCACUGGGAAUUUAAAGUCAGCUCUGACAAAUGGCCAGGCCUGGCAGUGGAUCAACAGACUGGAGGUUCUGUAAACAUCAUUGUCCUCAUGUGACUAGCGGUGAUAAGAGAAGGUAAAAAUAAACAUCAAGCAGAAGAUAUUUGGCGAACGAUUAAUCAACACAUUUGUCAACAGUGUUCUCAGAACCCCCGACUUCACCCCCAAGCUGUUAUUAAUGGCUUGGUUGCUUCUUGACCUUCUGCCUGUCCAGGUGAGUCCAAACUAAAUCAAUGCUAUUGAGUUCUAAGCUUUGUGGAGGCCAAUCAGACACCGACUGCUGUUCUUCCCCGAUAGCGCUACACGUUUUAUCAGUAUCCAACAAUACUUCUUGGCAUUCAUGGUCCCAUCAGUUCUGACCAACAGCAGCUGAAACACAGUCCAAAAUCAUUACAGAGCCCAUGUGUUUUUUUGUUUUUUUUUUUACAGCUGCAACCCUUUUGUUUAGAGCACUUCUGAUAAGGCUUUGGUGAACAGGUGAUGGAUAAAGUGAAGGGGGUGCAGUGGGGGAGGCAACUAUUCUAAGAUUCAGUUGUGGAUCAUUGCUCUAUUUUCUUUGUUUCAAAUUCUCACCAGAGCCAGACUCAGAUACCGAUCAUUGGUUUUUAUGACCUGCCCUUGUGUUUAUCAUAUCAUUUUACUCUUGUAAAAUUCUGUCUUUUAGAAAGACAUAGGCCUGAAAAGGCAAUUGUAUUAAGCUCAAGCUGUAUAUUUCCGUUGUUUAUAAUCAAAUAGGGGUUCAUGGACCACGUGAGGCCUAGACACAAUCAGAGUGGUCCAGUGUGUCAUUUGCCAAUUGUACAAAAUCACAAUUGGAACACAAGGAAAAAUUCCUACAGUAGAACAGACCAUAAAUAGAACACACAUUAGCAACAUGCAGCCCUCAGUGCAAUCAGUGUUUUUCCAUAUAUGUUUUCAAUUGCAUGUUUUAGUUCAAAAUGUAUUAACCGCAUAAAAGGUUUAAAUCUGGCCCAACUGAAUUUAUAAUUGACUAUCCCUGGUUUAGAAGUAGUUAUUCUCCAUGAAAAAGAAGAAGGAAAGUAUCUCUAGACGCAGAGUGGAAAAUGGCUAAAUGGUUAACCAUUAAAACAAUUCAAAUUAGUUGUAGAAUUUGUGAUCAAAGACUGGAGAAGUAUUUCAGAAGACCACACUGAAAUCUUUAUUUUCAGAUGUUGUUGCGACGCACUGUGGCAUUUGAACAGUUUUUUUUUAUAGUAGACUAUUGUACCACUAAAGGGAG